CUUGAUGGACAGUGGCAAUCAUAAAGGCUAAAUUAGAGUGGGAACUGAAGGGAGAUGAGUGGAAGGGCAGGGAGGAAUCAGAGAACGUUAUUCUUCUUUUUUGUUUUGUUUUGUUUUGAGACAGAGUUUUGCUCUUGUUGCCCAGGCUGGAGUGCAAUGGUGUGAUCUCGGCUCACUGUAACCUCUGCCUCCCGGGUUCAAGUGAUUCUCCUGCCCCAGCCUUCCACGUAGCUGGGACCACAGGCACUCGCCACCAUGCCUGGCUAAUUUUGUAUUUUUAGUAGAGAUGAGGUUUCACCAUGUUGGCCAGCCUGGUCUCAAACUCCUGACCUCAGGUGAUCUGCCUGUCUUGGCUUCUCAGAGUGCUGGGAUUACAGGCAUGAGCCAUCCACUGAGCCAGAGAACAUUAUUCUUCUAAAUUCUGGGUUGUGAGUGUGUGAACAUGCGUAAGCAUGUGACCAUGUACAUACUAUUUCCCCCUUCCCUCUCUCUCGAGCAGCCCUACAUACCCUUUUCCUAGACAAAAUAACACCUUCCGAAUCACAGACCCCUUAGUUAUAAUAUCAGCAUGCCUACAAUUCCACCUGAGUAGCUUGACAUGAAGUCAUUACUUGUGUACAUCUUAACCUGCACCUGCUUAAUGUGAG
rnacentral:lncRNA from 10 species